GCGAAUGGAAGCCUUUUCGAACUGAGGCGCUGGCCAAACAUAGUGAACGUGUCACCGCAUCACACACUACACCACCACCACUUAGCACAAUCAAGUUAUUACACUUCUGGUGCUGAGAAAAAGUCUUAAGGAAAUGAAAAGUUUAAAUGAAAAGUAAAAUUGUGAAAAAUCAAAUGGUAAAAAAUCGGUGAAAACACCGUUAAACAAGCAGUAAAAUUACACCUGCAAGCGUUUGAAAUACAAUUUGCUGCUUUUUUCGCUUUUACACACAUUUGGCGUUGGCCGCCGUUUGAAGGGAAAUCAGAAAUUUCCUGCGCUUACUACGCGUGCUGGAUUCUUUUCGAUUAAAUGAAAUGAAAAAUUAUCACUAAACGGGCGUGAAAAAAGUGAGACCGAAGCCUAAAAUUGUGUGAAAUUCAUCAAAAAAACAAAAAAAAAAAGAAAAGAAAAUUAAAUUAAAUAAAAUUUGCUGCAAAAGCAUUUGUACGAAUAUAUGUAUGUAUGUGUGUGACAAGCAGAGAAAAGUCAUUAAUUUUUCGAAAUAAAUAUCUUUCGGCAGUGAUGUGAAUACAGAUACAUACAUACAAAGUAGUAGCUGCAUGGGAGUAUAUGAAAAUUUAUGUGCGGAAAUUUUGCUGGAGCAUUGAAUUUCUAAUUAUAAACGGCAGAAAAACACAUAUCAAACGUGAGCAUAAAUCUCAA